rnacentral:lncRNA from 1 species
UACAUCAUUUACUUUUUAGCAGUCCCAUGCCUCUCUUGCCAGAUCUUCUACCCACAGCAUGCCAACACAAAUCAAUUCUCAUGUUCCAUUUUGAUUAUGAAUCGAAGUUUGUUUUCUGCUACUGGAACAGACCAGAAGACGAGAUCUGCAUUCAUGGCCUUGCCGUGAAUUCUACCGUUGAGAACAUGCUGUGAGGUUAGUAAGAGAGUGCAUGCUAAGUAAUUGCUUCUGUUCCUCAGAGGAAGGCAGUUUCCGUAUUUCUGUUUAUACCUAAUUGAUGGGAGGGGUUUAUAAUUAAUCUACCCUCUGAAGCUCAUUAGCUUUUUAAUAGUGUUAGCUUAACACGAUUGUAGUCUUAACAGCUUUGAUAUUGAUUGAAAUUGCAUAGAAUUUGUACUGUUAACUCUGGCCUUUUUCGUUAGACUCUUAUAUAGUGUAUGCAUGUGAGUAGGGGUAACAAGUUGGGGUACUAAUCGGAUGUUAUCCGUAAACAGGGUCAAAAUUUCAUGUUACAAUCUAAUUACUUUUUCAGUUUAAUUUAAAAUUGGUCAAUUUUAUCUUACCCUUUAUAUCCAAUGUUGCAUUGUUGGGUGGUGCCAGAAAUUGUUAACAGAUACACAGAUCAUCAGAAUUAGAUGAUGACUCGUAACUUGACUCCACAAUUGACUAAAUUUUCUUUUUCUUGUCAUGAUUUUUGAUGUUUAAUAUGAACUAGUUGUAUGUAAUAAUACUUGUUGCUUCUGUGGUUGGAGGUAUAAAGAUUAGUUUCAUUAUCAAGCAAUAGCGUGGAAUAUGGUAUCUGUCGUUGUAUUUGCACAAAUGAAUGAAUACUAUUGAAGAGAAGAAAUGUAAUAACAUGGAGCAACAAAUGGUUAAGAAAUGGAAUCAUAUAAUUUUGUAUCUAAAUUAUAUCUGCAUAAGUUUCCUGAAUGUACAUAUCGAAAAAUUUUUAGCCAAAAAAUGCAAAUGAAUCUCAAAAUUUGGUAUCAUUGCAACUUGAUUUACAGGGUUAGUGAUUGAGGAUAUUGAGAAAGGAAACUCUGGUUUUGAUCAAUCGUCUAGAAAGGCAUUCAAGGCCAUCUUCAAGAUCUUGAAUGCACUGCUCCAAGUUUUUUAGUUGGGCUUGAAUACUUUGAAUGAGCAUGCUGUAACCACAUUUGCUUGUCUUGGGACUGCAGAGAGACUGCAAAGCGCUGUCCAUGUUGGCAAAUUCAUUAUUGUCUGAAAAUUCUUCCUCGGGAGCCACUCUUUUGUGGUGGAUCAGUUUAGAAACUAAUGACCAGCUGCUUGGCUUCGUUUGCAGAUUGGACCCUGAGAUUAGGGACAAUAAGGACUCAAGAGCAGUGGCAGUUACUGCUUCAGCUUCGCGUAACAUGCUUAACAUUGCGGAAGCUUCCUUGUCUAAAUUGAUGGGAGAGGAAGUGCGGCUCUUUUCAAUACCUUUCAAUUUCCUCAGAGCUUUGUGGAUUGCCUUUUUCACCAAUUUUCUGGAAGCUAAGUAUUUCUUAAUCUCAGCUUCACCUCCACAUCUUCGGCGGAAACUUGACUGAAGUUCACGUGUGGAUUCCUUUGUCAGAAGUAAUACAUCUUUAGCGGAGCUGCACACAUCCAAGAGCCGGAGAGAUCCAUCUAGUAGCUCUGCCACACCUUCUUCAUUCAACUCUCGGGUUAAUGUUUGUUGGCAGAGAGGCAAGAGAAGCAGCUUCUCAACACACUCAUACAGAUCUUGAAGGGCACUUAUUUUGCCACAAACUGAUGUUGAUAAUGUUGAUGCAGAUACUGAAGACUUUAUUCUGCACAAUUGGACAUCAACUUGUUGUAGAAAAGGAUGUGUUAUGCAAGGGAAGCUAUGGGACCGAGCAUGGUAGGCAGCCAUUUUUUUUAGAGAAAAGAGAGGGUUAGCAGAUGAAUUCUGAUUUCACUGUAAACAAUUUGCCUUGUGUCUUUUGCUUCCCCUCAUUAUAUAUUGCAGGUCAAUGGAGACAGAAAGAAUCUUUUUUCUUCUUCCUCUUCGUUAUCAAUUAUUAAAAGUGAAGAGUGUUCUGGAUUUAGGUAGUCUGUCAAUAAUGUUUAUGCAUGUCUCCCUCUUACCACAUCUCCAGGUCAGCUUUCCUAAAGAAUAUACAGACGCUUGAGUGGCACUAAGAGAGCCCUAGGACAAGAGACAAUAGCCUUACCAUCUCAUCUUUACUCACUGUAUGUUGUUGCUUUCGAUUUCUUAAAAUAAUUUCAUCUGCCAGUCCAUCUCCACAUGAAAAUGACACCAGUAAUCUCUAUCUAAUUGUACACAACCAUUUCCACCUAAAUGCAUCAAUAAUCCAUGUUAAGGACUGAUUGAAAAAUUUGAUGUUGCAUGUUCCUUAUCUGGCUUCUGCACAAGUAGUAUGCAAGUUAUUCAUAAUCUAAUAUCACCUUUUCUUUUUUUUUUCUUUCAUUGAAAAUGGCUUGAGGCUGAACUAGGCUGGAUAAAUCAGACUGUCUCUCCAAACAGAGAAAGCCAGAAUAUCUUCUUUAGUUUUUGUCAAUAUUUAAUCUUCUGCCUAUAGACAAUUCAGGUCAGUAGCAUGGAGGACGCAAAUAAUAUGCUUUAUAUGUAUCUCUGUAAAGUCAGGUUUUUCCCUCAAUGCGUGCCUGUUGGAUGUGCAUGGAUGCUAACUCCAGUUUAUUAAUAAACAAUUUACUUGAAUUUUCACUUUAAUCAGCAUUUCCUGCAAUAUUUAGAUGAGAUCUGCAUACUCGGCCAUAACAUACCUGACAAAAAUGGAGACAAAUGGUUAGUGAGGACAAUAACUCUGCCAUCCUCUAUAAAAUGUUAGAGUACUUUCACUUUUAUAAAACACAUUUUAGACAUGUUACCAAGUCUUGUGAAAAGAUUAUAGCUAGUGAUAGAAAAGGUAUAUUCAUCUUGUAAUAUCAGGUCUGAGUCUUUCGAGUUCUUGUGCAUCAAUGUGGAUGCUUAUGGAUUUUUAUAUCAAUCAAUUGAUUUUCCUCAAGACAUAUAUGAUGCUCUUAAAAGAAAAAAGGACAAAAAAAUAGUAUGGCUGCAAGAUCUUCUGAGAACCAGUGUUUAACUUUAGUAUGAAUUGAAGAGUACAAAUACUUUUAGUCUAUAUACAGAGCAUCAUGAUUUUUUUUUUUUGGCUAGUGAUUAGCGACAUUGAUAAAGGAGACUCUGGUCCUGAUCAACUUUCUGUAUAUGCACUCAAGUCCUUCUUCAAGAUCUUGAAUGCACAACUCUAAAUUUU